CCUACGGGAGGCAGCAGUGGGGAAUAUUGCACAAUGGGGGAAACCCUGAUGCAGCGACGCCGCGUGAAGGAAGAAGGUUUUCGGAUCGUAAACUUCUAUCAGCAGGGAAGAAGAAAGUGACAGUACCUGACUAAGAAGCCCCGGCUAACUACGUGCCAGCAGCCGCGGUAAUACGUAGGGGGCAAGCGUUAUCCGGAAUCACUGGGUGUAAAGGGUGCGUAGGCGGUAGGGCAAGUCAGAUGUGAAAGCCCGGGGCUCAACCCCGGGAUUGCAUUUGAAACUGUCUUACUAGAGUGCAGGAGAGGAAAGCGGAAUUCCUAGUGUAGCGGUGAAAUGCGUAGAUAUUAGGAAGAACACCAGUGGCGAAGGCGGCUUUCUGGACUGUAACUGACGCUGAGGCACGAAAGCGUGGGGAGCGAACAGGAUUAGAUACCCUGGUAGUC
rnacentral:rRNA from 1 species